GACGAACGCUGGCGGCGUGCUUAACACAUGCAAGUCGAACGGAAAGGCCCUGCUUUUGUGGGGUUCUCGUGUGGCGAACGGGUGUGUAACACGUGAGUAACCUGCCCUUGAUUUUGGUAUAACUUCAGGAAACUGGGGCUAAUACCGGAUAGGAGCUCCUGCUGCAUGGUGGUGGUUGGAAAGUUUCGGCGGUUGGGGAUGGACUCGCGGCUUAUCAGCUUGUUGGUGGGGUAGUGGCUUACCAAGGCUUUGACGGGUAGCCGGCCUGAGAGGGUGACCGGCCACAUUGGGACUGAGAUACGGCCCAGACUCCUACGGGAGGCAGCAGUGGGGAAUAUUGCACAAUGGGCGGAAGCCUGAUGCAGCAACGCCGCGUGCGGGAUGACGGCCUUCGGGUUGUAAACCGCUUUCGCCUGUGACGAAGCGUGAGUGACGGUAAUGGGUAAAGAAGCACCGGCUAACUACGUG
rnacentral:rRNA from 1 species